UCCUUAGUAGUGUAGUGGUCAGCACGCUCGACUCGUACUCGAGAGGCACGUGGUUCGAGUCUCGGAGAGGAC
rnacentral:tRNA from 1 species